GAAAAGAAAAAAAAAAAAAAAACAUUAAGAGAACUUUGACAUUAUUAGCAAACCGAUUUCUAUCUCACUUUUGCUUCUCACGUACUUCCUGUUGUGGUUCCAUGCUAAGUUUAUUUGAGUAUCCUUCAGCAUAUUUGAUAUCAUUGAAAUAUUAAUUUUCUGCGUCAUGCUGUUCACAAAAUCUGUUCAACAUUGAUAUUGCUGUUUUAUGCUUUUUCCAUUAUUACUUUUGAGAAAGUAAA
rnacentral:misc_RNA from 1 species